CCAGAGUGGCUGUUUUGUGUUGCUUUGGGGGGAGGGACUUGGCACUGCCCUGGUAGGAGGCGGCUUGCCUUGCCUUUGGUUCUUUGAUGCUCUUUCUCUGGAACCCCUGGGGAAUGCCUGAGUCAUCGCUGAGCGGCAAACACAUUUAGCUUCUUUCAUCGUCCCUAAUAAAUCAACUUCUCCAGUUCUCUCCUACCUGCCUCCAGCUCCAGGCUGCCUGGCCCCCGUCUCCUGUAGCCUGACAUCUGGGCACUGCAGAGACUUCCAGCCCCCAGGUUCCUGGCAGUGGUCCCCUGGCCGUUUCCUCUCUCUCCCCAGGCAUUCUGGGCCGGGCAAGGCCUCCUCGUGCUGGGCUGGCCUGCAUUCAACAGCUGCGGCCCUGGAGCCCUUCAGUGCUUCCUGCAGCUAGGAGCCGCCUGGCAUGGAGGCAGCUGGGAUUAGCAACAUCUGCCGCCGCAGCUCAGCCCUGACCCUGACCACCACCUCAGCGCCCUCUCGGCGGCCCACAGGGGCUUGUGCUGGGGCCCAGGGAAGUUCCCCCAAACACCUUACCUCAUUCUGUCUCUCAAAGGCCAGGUUGGCUAGAGGACCCCAGGCCUUUCCUGGGCUUGUAUUUCAUGGCACCUCUCUCAGGAAGCCUCCCGAUGACCUCCUUCCCUUCCUUGGUGGGUAGUCUGAGGCUCUGAAUGCUGAAGAAAUUACUUCAUAUGCGGAGAGAGUCAGCCCUUGAACCCAGGCCUCCUGAGUGGCUCUCGUGGCUGCCUCUGCAGCCUCUCACAACGCCUGGCUCAAGAACCUGCCCACCAAAGACCACCAAUAGGAGGGAGACCUGGAGUUCGAGUCUUUACAGACAAGGAAAGAAGACCCCAAAGAAGCAGGAAGGUGACAGGAGGUGUCCAGUGUCCCGGCCGCUCUCACCUGAUG